rnacentral:rRNA from 1 species
UGAGCAAUCUGCCCUUCUCAUCGGAAUAAGCGUUGGAAACGACGUCUAAUGCCGAAUACGACCUCCUUUCGCAUGAUCGGAGGUGGAAAGCUCCGGCGGAGAAGGAUGAGCUCGCGGCCUAUCAGCUAGUUGGUGAGGUAACGGCUCACCAAGGCAACGNUGCGUAGCCGACUGAGAGGGUNAUCGGCCACAUUGGAACUGAGACACGGUCCAGAUCCGUACGGG